AUAAUUCUUAUUUCUCACGAUGGUUGGUAGACUAAAACAAUUAACAAGUCUUACUGUGUGUGGGUCACGUUGUAUCAUGUUUUUACCCUUUGAGGUUUAUUCAGCCUUUGGUGAAUACAAGUGUAAAUGAUAUGCUUAAGAGCUUGUUAGAGAAAGAUCUAUUGGUUCAGACAGUUAAAAUAAAAUAUAUAUCAUAUUGAAAACAAGAAAUCAAGAUGUGAAAAAUGUACUUUUCAUUAAUUUCCAGCCUCGUAGUUUGAGCAUCAAAUUCCCUCAGCAUGAACGCAAUGAGUUGGGGAAUAAAGGACCAUUCCAACAGCCAAUUAUCAAAUUUCAGAUUCUGUGAUGUAGAGAAGAAGAAAAGAAGAGAGAUAAAAUUGUGUUCCGAGCAACUCAAAAGCCACUUCUCUCUAUCACUUUUGUUUUAGGCUAAUCGUUUCUACUUUCUUUUUUAGAACAAAGUUUUUUCAGAUUCAUGUGCAUUUUCUUCAAAGCGUAGCAGCAAAUCUCCUUAUCUCACACGGAGGAAAUGUUCAGGUUGUAAUUUCUCUAUUUGAGUAGCCCAAAUGGUGUCGACUCCAUGGUACCAAAUGGAGCUCGUUGUAAAAAUUCUGGUCCUUGGCAUCAUCUAAGCAGCAAUCUAUUUGCAUGCUAAAGUGUGCAGCACUUGAAAGCAUGACUAGAAAGACAUGGGUUUAUUAAGUACGAUGUAUGCAUGGCAACAAAACCACAGAGUCAAUGGUUUAAGCAAAUUGUGUUACUGAAGAGAAAGUACGCCUUCGUUACAUGAGAUAGAUGUUCUUAUUGUAGAUUUGUAGACUUAAAGCUGCAGGGAGCAUGCUCAAAAACAGAAACUCUGUAUGCAGAACAAAUCCUGAAACCAGAGGCAGGAGAUUGGAGCUAAACGAGGGAGAUGUCGAAAAGCAGAAAAGGAUCAAUCAUAAUUACCAUUGAUAUGGCUAGACUCUGCCAAAGGGCUGUUUCUUCCGAUUGAUUUUGUUUUAGAAGACCCCCUACUUUCCAUUCUUUAAAUGUAGGGUUGAAGAGUGGAAAAUUCAUUCUGUACACUAACAUAUGACUGGAAAUGAUUCAAGUAACUGGACGUGACUGCUUUCUUGGUCUUCUUCAGCGAUCUGUUUCCAGAGAGGAUGUUCAACUCGUAGAAAAAAGCAUAUGAAAAACACUAGACAGAAUAAAAUAUAGAAAGGAAAGUUACCCACUUCAGUUUCAAAUGAAUGAACAACCGUGUGUUGUGCAGUUGAAUUGAUGGUUCCUUGAAGCCUGCUAGCACAAACUUUUGUGUUUUUGCUGCCAACAGCUGAGACUUUUUUCAAGUCUCCGAAGAGAAGAUUGAAGAUUGCUCAGGAACUAAUUAAGUUCUACAUCAUCUUUCUGUGGCA